GGCACAGUAGUUUAAUCUGGUGGAAUACGAGUCUCAUGAGCUCGGGGUUGUGGGUUCAAAUCCCACCUGUGCCA
rnacentral:tRNA from 1 species